CCUUCCGAGUUCCCUGGAAUGGGACCCCAUAGAGGGUGAGAGCCCCGUACGGUGGGAUGUCUAGCCUAUGUAAAGCUCCUUCGACGAGUCGAGUAGUUUGGGAAUGCUGCUCAAAAUGGGAGGUAAAUUUCUUCUAAAGCUAAAUACCGGCCAGAGACCGAUAGCGCACAAGUAGAGUGAUCGAAAGAUGAAAAGCACUUUGAAAAGAGGGUCAAAAGUACGUGAAAUUGUUGAAAGGGAAGCGCUUAUGACCAGACUUGCGCCUAGCGAAUCAUCCGGCGUUCUCGCCGGUGCACUUCGCUCGGCUCAGGCCAGCAUCGGUUUUCUCAGGGCGUUAAAAACAACAGGAACCGUAGCUCCUCCGGGGGUGUUAUAGCCUGCUGUAGAAUAUCCCUUGGGGGGACCGAGGACCCGCGCUCGG
rnacentral:rRNA from 1 species